CGGGAUAUAGCGUAGUUUGGUAGCGUGCCAUCUUGGGGUGAUGGAGGUCGCAGGUUCAAAUCCUGCUAUUCCGA
rnacentral:tRNA from 1 species